CCACCAGAUCCUUCCCCCAACACUGAGGAUUACAAUUCAACAUGAAAUUUACCGGGGGGACAAAGAGUCAAACGGUAUCAGCUUAGUACCUGGCAUCUUCAACCUUUCUGGACUACAGCACCUGCCAACUGACCCCCACAUCAUGGCUCCAACGCUGGCUUCAUCACAUAUCUUCUCUCUCAGUCCCUUUGGCUCUCAGGGUGCAAUAGCUUAACAAAAUUGCUGAUCUAGGUGCCUCAGCAUUGUUUCUUUGUCAUAGUCUCUGUAUUAUCUUAUUUUGAGCCAUUCUUUUCCUGCAAAGAUCCUAACUGAAUGAGAUAACUACUUCAUAAGCUAUUUGUAAGGUUUAAAUAAAUUAAUGCAUAUUUAAUACAUGAA
rnacentral:lncRNA from 1 species